rnacentral:rRNA from 1 species
GAUGAACGCUGGCGGCGUGCCUAAUACAUGCAAGUCGAGCGAACGGACGAGAAGCUUGCUUCUCUGAUGUUAGCGGCGGACGGGUGAGUAACACGUGGAUAACCUACCUAUAAGACUGGGAUAACUUCGGGAAACCGGAGCUAAUACCGGAUGAUAUUUUGAACCGCAUGGUUCAAAAGUGAAAGACGGUCUUGCUGUCACUUAUAGAUGGAUCCGCGCUGCAUUAGCUAGUUGGUAAGGUAACGGCUUACCAAGGCAACGAUGCAUAGCCGACCUGAGAGGGUGAUCGGCCACACUGGAACUGAGACACGGUCCAGACUCCUACGGAGGCAGCAGUAGGGAAUCUUCCGCAAUGGGCGAAAGCCUGACGGAGCAACGCCGCGUGAGUGAUGAAGGUCUUCGGAUCGUAAAACUCUGUUAUUAGGGAAGAACAUAUGUGUAAGUAACUGUGCACAUCUUGACGGUACCUAAUCAGAAAGCCACGGCUAACUACGUGCCAGCAGCCGCGGUAAUACGUAGGUGGCAAGCGUUAUCCGGAAUUAUUGGGCGUAAAGCGCGCGUAGGCGGUUUUUUAAGUCUGAUGUGAAAGCCCACGGCUCAACCGUGGAGGGUCAUUGGAAACUGGAAAACUUGAGUGCAGAAGAGGAAAGUGGAAUUCCAUGUGUAGCGGUGAAAUGCGCAGAGAUAUGGAGGAACACCAGUGGCGAAGGCGACUUUCUGGUCUGUAACUGACGCUGAUGUGCGAAAGCGUGGGGAUCAAACAGGAUUAGAUACCCUGGUAGUCCACGCCGUAAACGAUGAGUGCUAAGUGUUAGGGGGUUUCCGCCCCUUAGUGCUGCAGCUAACGCAUUAAGCACUCCGCCUGGGGAGUACGACCGCAAGGUUGAAACUCAAAGGAAUUGACGGGGACCCGCACAAGCGGUGGAGCAUGUGGUUUAAUUCGAAGCAACGCGAAGAACCUUACCAAAUCUUGACAUCCUUUGACAACUCUAGAGAUAGAGCCUUCCCCUUCGGGGGACAAAGUGACAGGUGGUGCAUGGUUGUCGUCAGCUCGUGUCGUGAGAUGUUGGGUUAAGUCCCGCAACGAGCGCAACCCUUAAGCUUAGUUGCCAUCAUUAAGUUGGGCACUCUAAGUUGACUGCCGGUGACAAACCGGAGGAAGGUGGGGAUGACGUCAAAUCAUCAUGCCCCUUAUGAUUUGGGCUACACACGUGCUACAAUGGACAAUACAAAGGGCAGCGAAACCGCGAGGUCAAGCAAAUCCCAUAAAGUUGUUCUCAGUUCGGAUUGUAGUCUGCAACUCGACUACAUGAAGCUGGAAUCGCUAGUAAUCGUAGAUCAGCAUGCUACGGUGAAUACGUUCCCGGGUCU